GUGGGCAAGCCAGGGAGUCGCUGGGAACCUCUACAUGUUGUCGGUUCAUGGUAGCGACAGACACUUCUUCUAUUACCCUGAAAUGCAUUUUAUUGGAAUUCUUGCCCUGUCUGGUGUUCCAGAUGAACUGUGGAUCAUCUCUCAUAGGCAGAGAACUAAAGACGCAAGGCAGAUCCUGCCAGGGUGCCACAGAGGGUGGUGACUUUUAAAAAACAGUUGUGUUUGGAUGUGAUUACCCCCAAGAAUGGAAAAAAAAAAGUGUUUUAGGCUUUGGGCUUGGUCCGUUUCUGUCUCUCUGUCUCUCUCCCUCUCUCCCUCUCUCCUUCUCUCCCUCUCUCCCUCUCUCCCCUUUCUCAUUUUGUGUAUAUGCAUGCGCACACUUGCUUUUGGGUUUGAGAGCUUUGAGGAAUUUGCUUCUGGGAAGAAGAGAGGUUUUCAGAGUCACAGUUAGGAGGAGCUGGUAUUGAAGAUGAGAUGAACUCUUUCUCUAUUCAUUACUGUAAUGUGUGAAUAUUUUUCUUUAAUAAGAUCCUCAUGACUAUAAGUGAAGAUUAAUAUGUUUGGAUAGUACUCCUUUUUUCCAUAGGUUUUUAUUUUUACCUUAUGUGUGUGCCUUGGUGGUGUUUUUGUGUAUGUGCUUCUGUCUGAGAGUGUCGGGUCCCCUGGAACUGGUGUGAGUUACCAUGUGGGUACAGGGAACUGACUGAACCCUGGUCCUCUAGAAGAGCAGCCCCUGCUCUAACCAUUGAGCCACCUCUCCAGCCCUUGGACAAGACUCUUAUUUGUUUCAGCUACAGCUUGAAAGAGCCCUCACGUGUGACCGCUCACCACGUGAGUGGGGUCCAGUCUUAGGAAAAAUAGUUGUCCUAAGAGCCCAGCCGUUCUUGCAGUUUUAUCGGAAAGUUUAUUGUAUUUUGUAUGGACCUUUCAAAGUUUGUUGUGGUAGCUCUGAAGAUGAUUUUUUAGAUGAGAAAGUUGUUACCCAGACUGUGGUGGAAGUAGAUGAGAGCGGUGGUUGGUAGAUUUGGAGGAAAUCUGAGCCGGGCUCCCUGUGGCUGCCGAGGAGUGUUAAGAGGAUGUGAAGUUAUUUAGAUUAUCCAAACAGGUUCUGACAGGUAAAUGAAAAAAAAAAACCUAAUUAAAAUAUAAUUGUUGCCAUUCUGUAACGGAUCAAAAGGCUGGCUGGGUCUCAGGUGCUUCCAGUGGCUGAUUUUGCCAGGCUUCUAGGCACGAAUUACUUUUAAGCAGGUGUGGUGCCAGACCUCUUGUGGAGCUGUGAAUGGAAGUUGUGAGGAGAUGUUUUAAGUGGGGUUGCUUAAGCGUUUUCAUGGGUCAGUGAGUUUAACCCUGUAUCAGCGGUUCAUCUACCAGCCACAGGGAAUGCUGCACCAGGGCCACAAAGGGCUUCCUCUGCAGCGAUUGCAGCUUAUCUGGAAGACCAGGCAGACAGAGCCACAGGGGUUUUGUAAUCUGCUGAGCCCUUCAGAACAGGGUUUUCAGCCUUUGCACUGCUGACAUUUUGGAUGGAGUCAUGCUUUGUGGCUGGGGACUGUCCUGAAGGAUGUUGAACAUCAGGUUUCGCCUGCACUUGCCCGGUGACAGUGGUACCUCCCUCCCCAGCCACAACCUCAAAUGCCUCCAGACUUUGGCAGAGCCUCCAGUGUGUGUGUAGGGGGAGGGGGGAGAGUGGCCCGCACCUGAAGGAGUUCUGCAGAGUCCCAGGAAAGGAAUCAGACUAGCAUUUUAGCCUUAUCAUUUAGGUUGUUGUCUGACCUUUAUCUGAGGGCACAUCUGUUGGGAUGGGGGUGGGGUGGUAUAUGCCUCCUUCUCUUUGCCCUCAAAGGCCAUCUGGUAUUUGUCCCUGAUGUGGUUUGUAUAGUCAGGCAUCUAUAUCUUGAGUGCAUCCGGGAACUUCAAUUUAAAAUGAAAAAGAAACUCUCACAGUGAGUGGAAUCACCCACAGCCUUUUUAUUCUGCAGAUAAAGGUGUUUUGAUAUGUGGGUAUUGGGUGUGUCCACGCAAACCCAGGUCUUUCGUUUGUUUGUCCAGUUUGGGUGGGUGGUUUGUUGUUUUUGUACUUCUGGAAAAUGAAGGUUUUUUAAACCCCGAACCUCCCCCAGAUGCCCCACUCCCAUAUCAGGGGGUCUCAAACUCUAGAGUUUGGAGAGGGAAUGGACCCUUACUGCUUUGUCAGGGAACUACUGUUCACAGUCUUUUUUCUACCUCACAGGUAACACGGAAGUCAGUGGCUGGAAGGUUUUUUGUCCAUUGAUUUGUCUCUUCUACCAACAGCGCAUGGUACUGUUUGUUCCGUCCAAAAGAUAAAUACAUAUGAAACUACGUCUGCCUCGUUAUAGCUAUUUCUGGACAGCCCCAUACCCCAGCAGUAGCUGUAAAUUUCUUAGCUGUAUACUCAGAGUCUCUUAGAAGUGGCGUUGGCCACGUUUUACAGUGUUUCUCCAAAGAGCAAGGUGCGGCUGUGAUUUCCAUGAGCAGCUGACCAGUCUAGAAAGCCUUACUGCUCUAUCAGGAAGCUGGGAGAGGGAACUGGGCCGCCUUGGUUUGCUGGAAUCCAUCUUUAGUGAUAUGGCUGGAUGGGGCCGUGGCAUUAUUAUCAGAGUUCUGUUUCUGACUGAAAAAUAAAUGUAUUUACCUCCACCUGGAGGCACCAGCGAGUUAUGUGCACAAGUGUGGCAUUUUUCCCGUGUGCUCCUAGAAACAACAUUUCCUCCUUACUAAAGCCCAGCUUCUCGCUGCUCCCUAGAUCUCAGGUCCACAGUGCAGAGAGCUUCAGUGUUUGAGGUCAUUUGCUCUCCGUUGCACUCAGCAGUUGAUGACCCUUGGAAAGGUCAUCCAGGAGCUUGGCCUGCAGGAAGAGAGGCUCAGAAGGCUCUGAUGGGGCAGGAAAAGGCAGGAGUGAAAUCUUGGUCACUUAUUAUAAGAGUCACAGCCAAAAACACUCCCGUAACAAAACCUACAGCAAAUGUAUUUAGGUAAAGUUUUAUAUGGCACAGACAGUUUUAAAAUGGAUACCCAAAGACUUUAGGGAAACUCCAUUUUUAUGCUUUGCUGGGGUGGAGAAUGGACAGCUGUGUGACAGGGCAAACUCAUGUGACCUAACGAAAGGAGACAGAGGACCUGACUGGUCAGGAGCUACUGGCUUGGAGCAUCAAUUCCCCCUGGGGUAGGGCAGGACUCCUCUGACCAGAGAGGAAUCACCUCUAGAAUGUCUUUCUGGCCAGCUCCCACACAGACAAGUGGGGUAGGUCCGAGCAUUAUCUCAAGGUUUUAUGGUGGGCUUUGGCCAAGAGAAGAAAAGUCUAGUUUCUGUGAUUUGCUCUGUGAGAGGAAGAGUCCUAAGAUGAGGGUGGGGGGUGGGGAAGGUCAGCGGGUGUGUCUUCCCAGGCCUUCCCAGCUCUUGGAUGUUAACCUUCUCAGUGCCAAAAGCGUGCCUUGAGCGAUUGCUCCAGAACUCUUAUCUGCUAGCUGUGUCUACAGGUCUGCACUGUGUAUUUUUUUUUUCAAAAGGAUAUAUCUUGUGUGCCGCUGUGGGCAGGUGUUCCGUUUAAAGGUUGACAGGCAGGCACUUUGAAGAAUGCAGAGGAAGUGUGGGUCUGUGCAUUACAGAAUUUGGAAGGGAAGAAAGCUUAUAAAUUCUUAUUCAUGAGAUCCAGAAAGUCAAUCUCUGCUGGUUUUGAAAGUCCCACAGGCUACACUGCCUCUGGCUUCAGUAAGACCAUGGGAACCCCAAAGGACCUGAGGCAAAGGAAAGUCCUUGCAUCCCCUGAGAAGGCUGUCAUCCUGAGAAAUCUUGCCAUUACACAUGAGCAGACCCCUCUCCUCGCUCCUUCUCACAUGGCUUGGUGUGGGGUCUCAAGACUGAGACGGGGUCACGACCUGGCUGCAGGAUUCUCACCAUCUGAGGCAGUUACUGCGAUGUGGACUGUGCUGGUGACCUGAACUCAGAACUUUCCUGGGAUAUGCAAGGAAUAAAGGUUGUAGUGAGAGAUAAAGAAAAUGGAGAGCAUUUUAGGCUCUUGCUUCAGUUCGCAGACUGAGCCCAUGCCCUGAGAAUGUGUGACUCCACAGAGCUGGCCUAUGUCACUCACUAUAGCUGUGUCAACCAGGGACAUUGAGUUUUGUCACAGAGAUUCCCAGGAUGAAACAAACACCUGGUUUGGGGAUAUGGGUGGGACUUACAGUCUCUGUGUGUGUGUGUGUGUCUUUGUGUGUAUUUCAGGGAGUAUUAGUCAUCUGUAGAUACAUAAAUAGUCUUCAGGAGUCUUCAUGACCAGGAAAGACAGGUAUUACCAUGAUGUAAACAUAGAGAAAAAUUCACACAUCAGAUGCCUAAACAAGCAAGAGGAAAAAUUAGAAGUUUUGACAAAAGAAAUGAUCUCUAAGUCUCAGAAGUGAUACAGGCAGUUGUUUGUCAUCUUUAUGCAUAGGUGACGGCACUGCACGCAGAAGGCAAAACUCAAAACUAGUAGAAGAUUGUGGUUACAUCACUCAACCGCAAGGACUCAACCGCAAGGACUCUGGGUCUCGCACUUCAGAGUUGACUUAGGGACUGGAGCGAUGGCUCAGGGGUUGACAGCAUUCGCUGCUUUUCCAGAGGUCCCAGGUUUAGUUUCUAACACCCAUAUGAGGUGGUCACAACUGCCUGUAACUACAGCUCCCAAGGACCAGUGCUCUCUCCAGGCCUUCAUGGACACGGGGACACACACACACACAGAGACAGAGAGAGAGAGAGACAGACAGAGAGGCACAGAGAAGUUUUUUAAAAAUAUUUUUAAAAAGCAACUUCAAGCUCGGCAGUGGUGGUGCACACCUUUAAUCCCAACACUUGGGAGGCAGAGGCAGGCGGAUUUCUGAGUUCAAGGCCAACCUGGUCUACAGAGUGAGUUCCAGGACAGUCAGGGCUACACAGAGAAACCUUGUUUCGAAAAACC
rnacentral:lncRNA from 1 species